rnacentral:rRNA from 1 species
UGGCGCACGGGUGCGUAACGCGUGGGAAUCUGCCCUUGGGUUCGGAAUAACUCAGAGAAAUUUGAGCUAAUACCGGAUGAUGACGUAAGUCCAAAGAUUUAUCGCCCAAGGAUGAGCCCGCGUAAGAUUAGCUAGUUGGUGGGUAAAGGCCUACCAAGGCGACGAUCUUUAGCUGGUCUGAGAGGAUGAUCAGCCACACUGGGACUGAGACACGGCCCAGACUCCUACGGGAGGCAGCAGUGGGGAAUAUUGGACAAUGGGCGAAAGCCUGAUCCAGCAAUGCCGCGUGAGUGAUGAAGGCCUUAGGGUUGUAAAGCUCUUUUACCAGGGAUGAUAAUGACAGUACCUGGAGAAUAAGCUCCGGCUAACUCCGUG